rnacentral:rRNA from 1 species
UUAAUUUCUGGUAAUUGGAAUGAUGGGAAUUUAAACCUCUUCCAGAGUAUCAAUUGGAGGGCAAGUCUGGUGCCAGCAGCCGCGGUAAUUCCAGCUCCAAUAGCGUAUAUUAAAAUUGUUGCAGUUAAAAAGCUCGUAGUUGAAUUUCUGCUGCAUUUCAUUUCUCUUUCUGAGUUUGUUUUUGCGGCUUAUUUCGGUUUGAUUUUUUCUUUCCGGAUGAUUACUUUGAGAAAAUUAGAGUGCUCAAAGCAGGCUUUUGCCUUGAAUAGUUUAGCAUGGAAUAAUAAAGUAGGACUUUGGUUCUAUUUUGUUGGUUUUAGGUACCAAAGUAAUGGUUAAUAGGAACAGUUGGGGGCAUUCGUAUUUAACUGGCAGAAGGAAAUUCUUAG